UGCCUUCAUACUUCCGCGUCCAGUGCGUUUGAAUGAACAAUUCUCAAUCAAUCCACCAGAAGGCGCUGUUCUUAAUUAACAUACUUGCUAAAUACCACGAAGAAGAAGAAGAAAGUUUUACUAAUAAGAAGAAAGUCA